GACGAACCGUGCGAACGUUAUUCGGAAUCACUGGGCUUAAAGCGCGUGUAGGCGGGGCGGAACGUCGGUCGCUGAAAUCCCCCGGCUCACCGGGGAAGGGCGCCGAUACGACCGGCCUGGAGGGACGUAGGGGGAGCUGGAACUUCCGGUGGAGCGGUGAAAAUGCGUUGAGAUCGGAAGGAACGCCCGUGGCGAAAGCGAGCUCCUGGACGUUUUCUGACGCUGAGACGCGAAAAGCGUGGGGGGAGCGAACAGG
rnacentral:rRNA from 1 species